rnacentral:rRNA from 1 species
UACAGAGGUCUCGAGCGUUAGGCGGAAUCACUGGGCUUAAAGCGUGUGUAGGUGGAUCGUUAAGUACCUUGUGAAAUCCCACGGCUUAACCGUGGAACUGCUUGGUAUACUGGCGGUCUUGAGCCAGCUAGGGGCUACCGGAACAAAAUGGUGGAGCGGUGAAAUGCGUAGAUAUCAUUUGGAACGCCAAUGGUGAAAACAGGUAGCUGGGGGCUGUGCUGACACUGAGACA